AACCCAUCUAUGCCCAAGAAGAAGUGUCCAACAGAUCGAGGUCUUCAGUUCUCUUUCAACAUAGAGCUUCCUCAAACUCAAGAGAGCAGACUUCUUGGCAUCAAAGACAACAUUAAAGCUAACAAAAGUGACCACAAGUACACAGCAUGUGGAUCUGAUGGAGGCUCUUCUGUUAGUUUUUGAGGAGAAAAUGGAGAGGAAAGGACUGACAUCAAGCCAACUGAGCUUAUCAUCAACGGAAGUACAGCUAGUCCCGACCCCUCUCUUGUUUCUACACCAUCUACUACACGGUUUUCGAUUCCUUCAGCGUCUUCCAUUCCAUCUUCUCAUAAGAUGCUUUUGAACUCUAAAUCUUUGCAAGAUAUGUUGAACCUUGGUACACUCAAUGCUAUUCCUAAAAUAUUUUCAUUUUUACUGAUUCUGUUUAGGACCAAAAAAGUUUUAGGAGUUGUUAACUGGAGUAGGGCCAGUGAAACUUCAGCAGUGAGCCAUGAAGUCCGUAUGACAAAAGAGCUGCUGACUUUUCUAACUGAAACCCAAGGGUUCCAUGUUUCAGAGGUGGCACACAACUUUGUGUUGCAGCUGAAAACAUGGAUCUUAUCCAAAGGAUACUCUUAGCACAGUACUAAGUAUACACUUGUAUUUUUAGGCUCAUUUUGUCAGGACACUUGACCAUUUCUUGAACGUUAGCCUUUCAUUGGUAUUAUUAGUUUUUUAUUAUAUUUUUACAGGUGCAAAGUCUGUGACCAAGGCAAUAAAGAAAGUUGCUUCUGGACCACAGAGAGAUAAGGGCUCAAAGUGGUUUUCUGAACUGUCAAACAAGGUGAAAAGUACACGGACUCGUGUGUACUUUUGCAUGAAGAACAGUCCACCCAGUGAGCAAGAAUUUCAGGUUAAUCUGCUGGUUGUUGCUGACCAUUAUCAGGGAAAUCAUGUCAAUUGCCAUGCGGAGUCACGAUGCAAGCAGAAUGGCUACAUAAUGAACAAAAAGGUUUUAACUAAACCUGAAGCCGUAGCUGUGUACAUAGGAAAGCCAUUAUGGGCACCUCAAUAUAUAGACAUGCACCUGAUUACAGGCGGGUAUUUAAUUGGCACAUGCUACUGUAUGUUUAUGUUUCUUUACAUGAAAAAGUUUGCCUCUUCCAAAUUAGUGAUGUUACAGUAAAGGCCAAAAAAGUGUUGCAAAAAAUUCCUGUUACAGUUACAGAAAAACAUCACGCAAAAUCUGUUACAUUCUGCAGUGUAGGAAAACAUACUGGAUUGAAUCUCUCCAUUAAGGUGCUUACUUCGAAGACACUUGAAUUCAGGGAAACUAUACAGUCUACCUUUUUUAAUCUAAACAACUGAUUUCUAUUCUGCUUUCCAGUGAUUCUGAGUUUCUGUGAUAAUUUUAAAUGGGAGCCGAAAUGUCUUGCAAAAGAUGUGAGGUAACCAGGGAGGAAUAAUUCCACCAACUGGUGAUACUAAGCAUUGAAACAUUCAAGAGUUACAGUAGGUAUUACUCUAGGGAUUUUAUUAAUUUUCUUUUUACUGUAUAUCUUUCACUAACUUAUUCAAAUGUUACUUAUAGUUUCUCUCCUUGACGUGGUCAUUUGUAUGAGAAUUUCAUUAUUCCCUUUUAUGCCCCAUGUAAGGAAAGCCUGGAGUGUGAAUGAUUCCUUCCAAGUUAGAAUUUGAACUUGAUUCCCGGGUUGAUACACGUACAUAUGGUUAACACCAAACCAAUAUAGGAUCUUUUCUUUCUUUAUUCCUUUCCUAUCCUUUGAGGCAUUCUUAUAUCGAAGCGGUCAACUGAAAUCAUUACCCAUUAUGCAAUCAUAGCUUUACAAAUAAUAUCAGUUUGGACAACGAGCACGUGGUAAUUAAAAGAACCAAGAAAAGUACAAAACUAGCGAUAGGUUUCGCUUUGAAUCACAACUACGGGUUGACAUAGUCACAAAAUAACUUGUUGCUUACCAACGUUCACGGGUCUUGACUACUUAAUCGAGGAUUACGGUCUAACUUGUCUUCUAUUUAGAAACGAUCUUGAUUACACGAGGUCUUAUCCUGAACUGAAAUGCUAACUAUAAUUUUCUGUCUAAAAUGAACUAAUCACGGAGGCGUUAAUCAAACCAUAAAAUAUUUCGCAGCUUCUUUCGGAAGCGACCACAUUUAGCUUUAAUGGAAGCAGUUUACAUGGAGGGUUAGGAAACCUUGACCUCACAUCUUUUAUAGCACAAUUGGGUAUCCUUUCCCGCAGUACAUUAACUUGGUUCCCAGUUUCCAUUUUUCUGGCCUGGCAAACAGGGUCUUUCCAGAGCCCACACUUCUUUAGAGAUCUCCAGUGCGUCUUAUAAUCUUUACGAUAUUGCACGUGAUUUUGUAUGUGCACUUCUCUACACCCAAGGUAUUCACAACUGUAUUAAUUGUAAAUGCACAUUUCCACCUCAUCCCCUACUGCAUCAGCUAUUUUGGAGACAAAAUAAGAUAACUUUAGGAGGGAAAGCGGAAAUGAACGGUCAUGAAGUCUUGUAAGAAUGACCACACAACCAGUCUUCCCGCCCAAAUUUUAUUUUGGACAAUUUCUGUAUAAUUUUUCAUGUUCUAUGAACAUGUUUACCAUAAAAUGUCGCGAUAAAUGAAACCUGUAGUUCAAGAGGAAUUACUCCUUUCAAAACAUUCUUAUGCAGGACAAUACAUUUGUUGGUGUCAUGCAAGGCUACAUUUCGGGAAACGAAGGUAUUGAAACAUUCAUGCGACGCUAACUGUCGCAUUAUUGGAAAAAAAAACCUUGGUUUGAAAGUGUUUUCUAACAACUAUUACCUGGUUGGAAAAAAAACCUGCCAAUAAUCAUGACUAGAAAUUUACAGGUUUAGGCGAGUGUUUCAAAGAUGGUGAUACAUUAUCACAUUAUUGUUAGUAUCGAACUGUUGUCCCAAGUUAUAAUUGUAAUGUAAUGAACUGUUCUGAAGGUCAAAGAGCUCUCAAUAUUGUUGUAUUCAUGUUAUAAUAAGAUUAAAAUAUGGUGAGGAAGCCAAACCAGCUGAUUCCUUUGGGGACAUCGACACCUUGACAUUUCAAAGGGAAUCAGCAGCCGGCGAUGAUUCACCCACGUGCUCCAGCAUUUCGCCUGUAAUGGUCGCUCCACUCUAAGUUUUUCUGUGUUUGGGUGAUACCAAUUCUCCUUCACAUUGUUGAAGAAAGGUGAGGAACAUUUCUUCAUCUUUCUUCUUUAUUUUUAUGAUCAUCUACAUCCAGUAUUUAGAAACAGACAUAUGAUAUUAUGCCGUGGUAAUAUUUACGUGAUGGUGAAGCGAAUUAUUUCGAAUUUCAAAUUUAUUGCCACAAUUAAAUGAAGACGAUUUCCACUGGAGAACGGAAAUACAAACCUCGAGAAACUCUUCCAUUGUGAUGAAAACGUAAAAACUUUUUAAUGAAUCUGCCUGCUGUUCACUGCUAUGGAUCUGCUUCAGCUCAAGCUGAUUUGAAUAUAGAGUUCUGUAUGGUAUGACGGUUGAUUGACAAAUGAUCCAGAGGUACCUUAGACACCACUCUUUUUAUAGGGCGUCUUAGUGUUUAAGUAGUUUUAAGAAAUAAUGAGUGAUUCUGGCGAGUUGUUUCUCCUAACAGCUUGCCACAAUAAUCAUAUGAAAGCUUAUCUUAUUAUCAUGCUGAGCUGGCUGAGGCUUGAGAAGAUUGUUUCAAGUCUUUUCCAAGGUAUUAGCCUGCGGUGCAGGCAUCUUACUAGGGUCAGUUAAUGCAUGCUAAGAAGCACACAAUCGUUUAUUCAACCGGCCAUGUUUAACUUGGAGUCAUAGUUGACAGUGGGGGAAGGGGGCAGGAAGGGAAACAAUAAUAACAUCAAUAUUCACUUUCCCCACCCUCACCCCCAUCUUCAUUUUUUCACUGUCACUCACCCCCUUGGUACAAAUUUCCUUC